AUUGAACGCUGGCGGCAGGCCUAACACAUGCAAGUCGAACGAGUCGCGGACGGGUGAGUAAUGUCUGGGAAUCUGCCUGAUGGAGGGGGAUAACUACUGGACACGGUAGCUAAUACCGCAUACCUUAAGAUGUGCCCAGUUGGGAGUAGCUAGUUGGUGGGGUAACGGCUCACCAAGGCGACGAUCCCUUGCUGGUCUGAGAGGAUUACCAGCCACACUGGAACUGAGACACGGGCCAGACGCCGACGGGAGGCAGGAGUGGGGAAUAUUGCACAAUGGGCGCAAGCCUGAUGCAGCCAUGCCGCGUGUAUGAAGAAGGCCUUCGGGUUGUAAAGUACUUUCAGCGGGGAGGCGUUACCCGCAGAAGAAGCACCGGCUAACGCCGUGCCAGCAGCCGCGGUAAUAC
rnacentral:rRNA from 1 species